UACGAAGGGGGCUAGCGUUGUUCGGAAUCACUGGGCGUAAAGCGCACGUAGGCGGAUUGUUAAGUCGGGGGUGAAAUCCUGAGGCUCAACCUCAGAACUGCCUUCGAUACUGGCGAUCUUGAGUCCGGAAGAGGUUGGUGGAACAGCUAGUGUAGAGGUGAAAUUCGUAGAUAUUAGCUAGAACACCAGUGGCGAAGGCGGCCAACUGGUCCGGAACUGACGCUGAGGUGCGAAAGCGUGGGGAGCAAACGGG
rnacentral:rRNA from 1 species